GCGCAGCAGGCGCGAAAACUCCGCAAUGCUCGAAAGAGUGACGGGGGAUUCCAAGUGCCUACGCUUAGCGUAGGCUGUUCAGAUGCCUAAAAAGCAUCUGGAGUAAGGGCUGGGUAAGACGGGUGCCAUCUGCAGUGGUAAUGAAAAACUUGCUACUGCAAGGCAUAAGCCGCCGCGGUAAUACCCGCAGCCCGAGUGGUAGUCGCUUUUAUUGGGCCUAAAGCGUCCGUAGCCGGUCUGGUAAAUGCCUGGGGUAAAUCGUGGGGCCUAACCUCACGAAUUCCGGGUAGACUGCCAGACUUGGGACCGGUUGAGGGAGAGGGUACUCCAGGGGUAGGGGUGAAAUCCUGUAAUCCUUGGAGGACCACCGGCGGCGAAAGCGCUCUCCUAGGACGGUCCGACGGUGAGGGACGAAAGCCAGGGGAGCAAACCGGAUUAGAUACCCCCGUAGU
rnacentral:rRNA from 1 species